AGUAACGAAUCUUGCGCAAUGGGCGAAAGCCUGACGCAGCGACGCCGCGUGUGGGAGGAAGUCCUUCGGGAUGUAAACCACUGUCUGNGGAUAAGAAAGUCCCGACUUGUCGGGAUUGAUCCAACCCAGAGGAAGUCACGGCUAACUUCGUGCCAGCAGCCGCGUGUAACACGAAAGGUGGCGAGCUGUUGUUCCGGUAUCACUGGGCUUAAAGGGUGCGUAGGCGGGAUGGAAAGCGUCUUGUGAAAUCCCCCGGCUUAACCGGGGAAUCGCUGGACGAACUGCCAUCCUUGAGGCAAGUAAGGGUGCGUGGAACUCUUGGUGGAGCGGUGGAAUGCGUAGAUAUCAAGAGGAACGCCGGUGGUGAAGACGACGCACUGGGCUUGUCCUGACGCUGAGGCACGAAAGCGUGGGGAGCGAACGGGAUUAGAUACCCCGGUAGUCCACGCCGUAAACGAUGUCUACUAGGCUGUGGAGGUUCUGACACUUUCACGACCGAAGCAAAAGUGCUAAGUAGACCGCCUGGGGACUACGGCCGCAAGGCUAAAACUCAAAGGAAUUGACGGGGGCUCACACAAGCGGUGGAGCAUGUGGAUCAAUUCGAAGCAACGCGAAGAACCUUACCUGGGUUUGACAUGCUUGUAUGCCUGCCUGGAAACAGGUUAGGCUGCCCUUCGGGGUGAAACUUGCACAGGUGCUGCAUGGCUGUCGUCAGCUCGUGUCGUGAGAUGUCGGGUUAAGUCCCUCAACGAGCGAAACCCUUGCCGUUAGUUGCCAGCGGGUAAGCCGGGGACUCUAACGGGACUGCCGGUGUAAAACCGGAGGAAGGUGGGGAUGACGUCAAGUCAUCAUGGCCUUUAUGCCCAGGGCUUCACACGUGCUACAAUGGUGACUACAAAGCGAAGCAAAACCGCGAGGUCGAGCAAAUCGCAAAAAAGUCGCCUCAGUUCGGAUUGCAGGCUGACAACUCGCCUGCAUGAAGCUGGAAUCGCUAGUAAUCGUACAUCAGCAAUGGUACGGUGAAUAUGUUCCUGAGCCUUGUACACACCGCCCGUCAAGUGAUGGGAGUCGGGAGUACCCGAAGUCAGGUUGCUAACCUUCGGAAGCGCCUGCCGACGGUAAGCCCGAUGACUG
rnacentral:rRNA from 1 species